GACGAACGCUGGCGGCGCGCCUAACACAUGCAAGUCGAACGGAGUCAAGAGGAGCUUGCUUUUCUUGACUUAGUGGCGAACGGGUGAGUAACGCGUGAGUAACCUGCCCUGGAGUGGGGGACAACAGUUGGAAACGACUGCUAAUACCGCAUAAGCCCACGGAUCCGCAUGGAUCUGCGGGAAAAGGAUUUAUUCGCUUCAGGAUGGACUCGCGUCCAAUUAGCUAGUUGGUGAGGUAACGGCCCACCAAGGCGACGAUUGGUAGACGGGCUGAGAGGUUGAGCGGCCACAUUGGGGCUGAGACGCGGCCCAGAAUCCUACGGGAGGCAGCAGUGGGGGAUAUUGCACAAUGGGGGAAACCCUGAUGCCGCGACGCCGCGUGGAGGAAGAAGGUUUUCGGAUUGUAAACUCCUGUCGUUAGGGACGAUAAUGACGGUACCUAACGAGAAAGCACCGGCUAACUACGUG
rnacentral:rRNA from 1 species